UGUUAUCAGCGAUUAUUAUUGAGUGUGCCUUAUCGAGAUUGAGUAUGCGAAUUGUUAAUGUGGUAUUACCUCCGUAUUAACAUGUCGAACUUGUUUAAAUCAUAUAAUGAAAUGCUUCGUUUUUAUAUGAGUGGUCAAUAGAUUAGAUUAUCAUGGGUAACCGUACGUAAUCUGCUAGCUCACAUGUGUUUCAAUUAGGUAACUGGUGCGCUGUUGUAUAUUUCGGCCAAUAAAGAGAGAAUGGGUAAAGUUCACAAACGGACUUUCGGGGAAAACGUGCACAACUAAUUUUUUAAGAACCAGAUUAUAGUUAAAUAUGGAGGGCAGAUACUUCAACCACCAAAUGAAGACGCUUACUUCGAUGCUCUCAGAGUAUGAUAAUGAAACGCUCUGCUUCGGAAGUUCCUUAUGUGGCCUUCAGCAAUCAUUUAAGGGGUUAUAUACAGUUAAAAUUUUCCAAAAAGAGCGCUUGGAAGUGCAAGGACAAAUUUUAAACUCGGUUUUUCAAAAUGGUGUUUUCAAAGUAAAAAAAAAAAUGGAAAAUUAGCUUUUUUCGAUCUUUUAACUGUAUAUAACUCCUUAAGUGUUUAUAUGCUCCGAUUUGAAGUUGAUCGUACAAAUAGUUUUAGCUUUGUGUAAUUUGCUCCCAAAGUUUUAAAAGCGUUUUUCUUGAAACAUUGUUUUCAGAGUUGGUAAAGAAAAUUUCUGGACCGAAUGGGCCUGGAAAAUAGUUGGACCGAAUGAACCUUCUUCGAUCUAUUAGUCAGAUAAUGAUCGAAGUAGUAAGAUUUUUGAAGAUCAUUUCUAUUUUUUAGCCACUCUGAAGUGAAUUUUGCAAAAAUAAAAACAAUUUUUUUUGGGAAGCGGCCAUUUUGUCAAAAAUCAUAAUUUUGACUAGCCAUUUGAUGAUUAAAUAAUGAUCUAUUGUAAUAAAAAAUGUUUUUGGUUUUUUGAUUUGAGAUAAUUUUAAGCAGCGAUAACUUCUUCACCGCCAAACGACUUUGUUGUUGUUACAUAUAGCGGCAGAAAACAUUCUUGAAAUAAUUUCGAAGAAUGAUGUUGAGUUGACAGUAACCGUAACCGAUUUUUUAUACAGCCAAGCUUGGACCCGACUGUCGUGGGAAUUUCGGAGGAACUCCUGUACG